rnacentral:pre_miRNA from 1 species
AUCACCUAGGGAUCUUGUUAAAAUGCAGAUUAUGAAUUAGUACGCCUGAGACAGGUCCGAGAUUUUGCAUUUUUAACAAAUACCUAGGUGACCCUGA